rnacentral:rRNA from 1 species
AAAUUGAAGAGUUUGAUCAUGGCUCAGAUUGAACGCUGGCGGCAGGCCUAACACAUGCAAGUCGAGCGGUAGCACAGAGAGCUUGCUCUCGGGUGACGAGCGGCGGACGGGUGAGUAAUGUCUGGGAAACUGCCUGAUGGAGGGGGAUAACUACUGGAAACGGUAGCUAAUACCGCAUAACGUCGCAAGACCAAAGUGGGGGACCUUCGGGCCUCAUGCCAUCAGAUGUGCCCAGAUGGGAUUAGCUAGUAGGUGGGGUAACGGCUCACCUAGGCGACGAUCCCUAGCUGGUCUGAGAGGAUGACCAGCCACACUGGAACUGAGACACGGUCCAGACUCCUACGGGAGGCAGCAGUGGGGAAUAUUGCACAAUGGGCGCAAGCCUGAUGCAGCCAUGCCGCGUGGGUGAAGAAGGCCUUCGGGUUGUAAAGCACUUUCAGCGGGGAGGAAGGCGUUAAGGUUAAUAACCUUGGCGAUUGACGUUACCCGCAGAAGAAGCACCGGCUAACUCCGUGCCAGCAGCCGCGGUAAUACGGAGGGUGCAAGCGUUAAUCGGAAUUACUGGGCGUAAAGCGCACGCAGGCGGUCUGUCAAGUCGGAUGUGAAAUCCCCGGGCUCAACCUGGGAACUGCAUUCGAAACUGGCAGGCUAGAGUCUUGUAGAGGGGGGUAGAAUUCCAGGUGUAGCGGUGAAAUGCGUAGAGAUCUGGAGGAAUACCGGUGGCGAAGGCGGCCCCCUGGACAAAGACUGACGCUCAGGUGCGAAAGCGUGGGGAGCAAACAGGAUUAGAUACCCUGGUAGUCCACGCCGUAAACGAUGUCGAUUUGGAGGUUGUGCCCUUGAGGCGUGGCUUCCGGAGCUAACGCGUUAAAUCGACCGCCUGGGGAGUACGGCCGCAAGGUUAAAACUCAAAUGAAUUGACGGGGGCCCGCACAAGCGGUGGAGCAUGUGGUUUAAUUCGAUGCAACGCGAAGAACCUUACCUGGUCUUGACAUCCACAGAACUUUCCAGAGAUGGAUUGGUGCCUUCGGGAACUGUGAGACAGGUGCUGCAUGGCUGUCGUCAGCUCGUGUUGUGAAAUGUUGGGUUAAGUCCCGCAACGAGCGCAACCCUUAUCCUUUGUUGCCAGCGGUCCGGCCGGGAACUCAAAGGAGACUGCCAGUGAUAAACUGGAGGAAGGUGGGGAUGACGUCAAGUCAUCAUGGCCCUUACGACCAGGGCUACACACGUGCUACAAUGGCAUAUACAAAGAGAAGCGACCUCGCGAGAGCAAGCGGACCUCAUAAAGUAUGUCGUAGUCCGGAUUGGAGUCUGCAACUCGACUCCAUGAAGUCGGAAUCGCUAGUAAUCGUAGAUCAGAAUGCUACGGUGAAUACGUUCCCGGGCCUUGUACACACCGCCCGUCACACCAUGGGAGUGGGUUGCAAAAGAAGUAGGUAGCUUAACCUUCGGGAGGGCGCUUACCACUUUGUGAUUCAUGACUGGGGUGAAGUCGUAACAAGGUAACCGUAGGGGAACCUGCGGUUGGAUCACCUCCUUA